GGGAGCGUAGCUCAAUGGUAGAGCAGCCGGCUUAUAAGCGCAAGGUUGCAGGUUCGAAUCCUGCCGCUCCUACCA
rnacentral:tRNA from 1 species